GGGCCCGCACAAGCGGUGGAGCAUGUGGCUUAAUUCGAGGCAACGCGAAGAACCUUACCUGGGCUUGAAAUAUAACGGACAGUCGUAGAAAUACGAUCUUCCUUCGGGACUGUUAUACAGGUGCUGCAUGGCUGUCGUCAGCUCGUGCCGUGAGGUGUUCGGUUAAGUCCGGCAACGAGCGCAACCCGUAUCAUUAGUUGCCAUCAGGUAAAGCUGGGGACUCUAAUGAGACUGCCCGUGUUAAGCGGGAGGAAGGCGCGGAUGACGUCAAGUCAGUAUGGCCCUUACGUCCAGGGCUGCACACGUGCUACAAUGGGUGGUACAAUGAGACGCAAAGCUGCGAGGCUGAGCAAAUCUACAAAACCACUCUUAGUUCAGAUUGCAGUCUGCAACUCGACUGCAUGAAGUUGGAAUCGCUAGUAAAGGCGUAUCAGCUACGACGCCUUGAAUACGUUCCCGGGCCUU
rnacentral:rRNA from 1 species